ACCCAGCAACGCCGCGUGAAGGAUGAAAUCCCUCGGGAUGUAAACUUCGCAAGAACGGGAAGAAUAAGUAAGAGCUAACAUCUCUUAUGAUGACGGUACUGUUUGUAAGCUCCGGCUAACUCCGUGCCAGCAGCCGCGGUAAUACGGGGGGAGCAAGCGUUGUUCGGAUUUACUGGGCGUAAAGGGCGCGUAGGCGGCCACCGCAAGUCGACUGUGAAAUCUCCGGGCUUAACCCGGAAAGGUCAGCCGAUACUGCGGGGCUAGAGUGCAGAAGGGGCAACUGGAAUUCUCGGUGUAGCGGUGAAAUGCGUAGAUAUCGAGAGGAACACCUGCGGCGAAGGCGGGUUGCUGGGCUGACACUGACGCUGAUGCGCGAAAGCUAGGGGAGCGAACGGGAUUAGAUACCCCGGUAGUCCUAGCCUUAAACGAUGAAUGCUUGGUGUCUGGGGUUUUAUAGUCCCCGGGUGCCGUCGCUAACGCUUUAAGCAUUCCGCCUGGGGAGUACGGUCGCAAGACUG
rnacentral:rRNA from 1 species